CAGUCGCCGCGGGAAUACGAAGGGUGCAAGCGUUAAUCGGAAUUACUGGGCGUAAGGCGUGCGUAGGCGGUGAGUUAAGUCUGCUGUGAAAUCCCCGGGCUCAACCUGGGAAUGGCAGUGGAUACUGGCUCGCUAGAGUGUGUCAGAGGAUGGUGGAAUUCCCGGUGUAGCGGUGAAAUGCGUAGAGAUCGGGAGGAACAUCAGUGGCGAAGGCGGCCAUCUGGGACAAUACUGACGCUGAGGCACGAAAGCGUGGGGAGCAAACAGGAUUAGAUACCCCCGUAGUCCCUGUCUCUUAUAC
rnacentral:rRNA from 1 species